CAUGCUUAACACAUGCAAGUCGAACGGCAGCACGAGGAGCUUGCUCCUUGGUGGCGAGUGGCGGACGGGUGAGUAACGCGUAGGAAUCUACCUAGUAGUGGGGGACAACCCGAGGAAACUCGGGCUAAUACCGCAUACCCUUUUCGAAGGAAAGCAGGGGAUCUUCGGACCUUGUGCUAUUAGAUGAGCCUGCGUCAGAUUAGCUUGUUGGUGAGGUAAAGGCCUACCAAGGCGACGAUCUGUAGCUGGUCUGAGAGGAUGAUCAGCCACACUGGGACUGAGACACGGCCCAGACUCCUACGGGAGGCAGCAGUGGGGAAUAUUGCACAAUGGGCGAAAGCCUGAUGCAGCAAUGUCGCGUGUGUGAAGAAGGCCUUAGGGUUGUAAAGCACUUUCAGCGGGGAAGAAAAGUUUGUGGCUAAUAUCCACAAACCCUGACAUUACCCGCAGAAGAAGCACUGGCUAACUCUGUGCCAGCAGCCGCGGUAAUACAGAGAGUGCGAGCGUUAAUCGGAAUUACUGGGCGUAAAGCGCGUGUAGGUUGAUAUUUAAGUCGGAUGUGAAAGCCCCAAGCUCAACUUGGGAACUGCAUCCGAUACUGGAUAUCUAGAGUAUGGUAGAGGGAAGUGGAAUUUCCGGUGUAGCGGUGAAAUGCGUAGAUAUCGGAAGGAACAUCAGUGGCGAAGGCGACUUCCUGGACCAAUACUGACACUGAGACGCGAAAGCGUGGGGAGCAAACAGGAUUAGAGACCCUGGUAGUCCACGCCGUCAACGAUGAGAACUAGCUGU
rnacentral:rRNA from 1 species